rnacentral:rRNA from 1 species
UGAGGAAUAUUGGACAAUGGGUGAGAGCCUGAUCCAGCCAUCCCGCGUGAAGGACGACUGCCCUAUGGGUUGUAAACUUCUUUUAUACAGGGAUAAACCUACCCUCGUGAGGGUAGCUGAAGGUACUGUAUGAAUAAGCACCGGCUAACUCCGUGCCAGCAGCCGCGGUAAUACGGAGGGUGCAAGCGUUAUCCGGAUUUAUUGGGUUUAAAGGGUCCGUAGGUGGAUUGGUAAGUCAGUGGUGAAAUCUUAUAGCUUAACUAUAAAACUGCCAUUGAUACUGCUAGUCUUGAGUAUAUUUGAAGUAGCUGGAAUAAGUAGUGUAGCGGUGAAAUGCAUAGAUAUUACUUAGAACACCAAUUGCGAAGGCAGGUUACUAAGAUAUAACUGACGCUGAUGGACGAAAGCGUGGGGAGCGAACA